rnacentral:rRNA from 1 species
GAGUUUGAUCCUGGCUCAGGAUGAAUGCUGGCGGCGUGUCUAAGGCAUGCAAGUCGUGCAGAUCAUUUUUCGUCGCAAGACGAGAAAUGGUUAGCGGCAAACGGGUGCGUAACACAUUGGCAAUCUGCCUCACAGUCGGGCAUAAGCCCUCGAAAGGGGGUCUAAUUCCACGAUGGCCAUGCGGGGACAAAUGUCAUUCGCAUGUAAAGCGCAAAACGCGCUGUGAGAGGAGCCUAUGGCCUAUCAGCUAGUUGGCGGGGUAAUAGCCCACCAAGGCGAUGACGGGUAGGGGAUGUGAGAGCAUGAUCCCCCUCACUGGGACUGAGACACUGCCCAGACACCUACGGGUGGCUGCAGUCGAGAAUAUUCCUCAAUGGCCGAAAGGCUGAAGGAGCGACGCCGCGUGCAGGAUGAAGGCCUUCGGGUCGUAAACUGCUUUUACCAGGGACGAACACUGACGGUACCUGGAGAAUAAGAGGUUGCUAACUCUGUGCCAGCAGCAGCGGUAAUACAGAGACCUCAAGCAUUAUCCGGAUUUAUUGGGCGUAAAGGGUCCGCAGGUGGCCCGGUGCGUCUUGCGUCAAAUGUUGGGGCUUAACCCCGACACUGUGCGAGAUACGAUCGGGCUAGAGCAUGGGAGAGGUAAGCGGAAUUGCCGGUGUAGUAGUAAUAUGCGUUAAUAUCGGCAAGAACACCAAAUGCGAAGGCAGCUUACUGGAACAUUGCUGACACUCAGGGACGAAAGCGUGGGGAGCGAAAGGGAUUAGAUACCCCUGUAGUCCACGCCCUAAACGAUGGAUGCUAGAUAUUGGGAGUAUCGACCCUCCCAGUGUCGGUUAAAAUAGCAAACGCAUUAAGCAUCCCGCCUGGGAAGUACGGUCGCAAGACUAAAACUCAAAGGAAUAGACGGGGACCCGCACAAGCGGAGGAGCAUGUGGUUUAAUUCGACGGUAAGCGAAAAACCUUACCCAGGUUUGACAUGUAGCUGCAAGCCGCUGGAAACAGUGGCCGCCUUCGAGGGUGCUACACAGGUGCUGCAUGGUUGUCGUCAGCUCGUGUCGUGAGAUGUACCGUUAAGUCGGAUAACGAGCGCAACCCUUGUCCUCUGUUGCCAUCACGUUAUGGUGGGCACUCUGGGGAGACUGCCGGUGAUAAACCGGAGGAAGGUGGGGAUGACGUCAAGUCAGCAUGGCCUUUAUGUCUGGGGCUACACACGUGCUACAAUGGCCGGUACAAAGCGUCGCGAUCUCGCGAGAGGGAGCUAAUCGCAGAAAGCCGGUCUCAGUUCGGAUCGUAGGCUGCAACUCGCCUGCGUGAAGUCGGAAUCGCUAGUAAUCGCGGAUCAGCAUGCCGCGGUGAUACGUUCCCGGGCCUUGCACACAC